rnacentral:snoRNA from 1 species
CCUGCUGCGGCUGCUGCUGCUGCUGCUGCUGCUGUGCAGCAGCAGCAGCAGCAGCU